UUUUUUUUUUUUUUAAAGCAGUAUAGCAUAGGUUAAUUGCUUCAAGAGAGCUGAAGAAUAAAUCUUCUCCAGAUUACUCAACAAUCUUUUAAUUUAUUGCUUUUAAACAAGGGUGUACUUUAAUCCAGCUAUUCAACUUUUGCCAGCAAUUUCACAGUUUAUCAUAAUAUUUGCAAUUUAAUUAAAUGCUAAUAAAAUACAUCACUCGUAUCACCUGCAGACCAGGAUGCGAGUGGCUCAAUUACUUCAGUGUUUACAGCUCGCUGAGUUGUGAAGGGCAAAUGGAAACUUUUGCACAUUGCUAAACAGCAUUUAUUUGAGAACUAGCACUAGAGGAAGAUAUGAAUGCUUUGUCUCAGAUUCAAAAAACAGAAUAAUAAAUAGAGAGGCAGAAUGGAUAUAUCAAUAUUCCUUUAUGAUAAAAGGAAACUGAUUAAUAAUUAGGACAUAUUUUAAAAGGAGCAAGGUAGCAUUUCAAGAAAAAGGAAAUAUGAUUUUGGUUGUGCUAUUUAUCAGUCCAUGUCUGUACUGAUCUUAGUCUUGUAUUUCUUCUGGGUUUUAUAUAUACUUGUAAGGCAACCUUUAGGUGGUUUUCUAGAAUUAUUAAUUGCUUGGUUUUUUCCCCACCAUGUUGAUUACUGCCUUUUUUUAAUUCACUAAAACACAAUAGCUCAUCAAGGCCUGAUGAAAUUCAUAGGUACCCUUGACAUUUUCCUCCAAGUUAUAAGCAGGUAUGAAAAAAGUCUGUUCUACCCCAAAACACCUUUAAUGUUUGCUAAGCUAAGGAAAAAAACCAGGAAGGUUUCAGUGCAAGGUUCAUGCUUUCCUAUGUAAUCUUCCUUCUCUUGGACUGAUGCUAAUAUAGAUACUAUAGCUACAGAUAUCAACAUCUGCAUGCAAUUGUAGUCAUUUGGGAAAAUACUUCAUUCAAUCUGUGUUCACCAUGCAUAUCCUGGGUACCAUUUUCCUUUGUUCUCUCUUUCAAAAGACAACUUCUUUUCUUAAACAGCUACCACUUCAGAAAAUUGAGCUUAAGCAUUCCUGUUCUCCAGCUGGAAGGACCAGAUGUUGGCCACUGGUGUGGUAAGCACAGGACAGCACAGCCCCACAGGAAGGGUCUGAGACUGCUGCCAGGCAAUCUCUGCAGUCCCACUGCCCCUCUGAUGAGCAACAAGCAUGGCUGAAGGAGAUCAAGAACAUGAGGUGACACAACAGGUGACAACUGGCAUCAUUCUCAUUCUCAGUUGCUAUUCAAGCAGCCAACAGCAUGAACUUAAACAUGUAUGCUUUGAGGAGUUCUCUCUGUUUCCCUAGUACAUAGGACUUUUACAACAACAGACAAGCCUAGUCCUUUGUACAAUAUUUAGAGAAGAUGAUGUCUCUGGGUUGUUCAGAGGAGUCAGUGGGUUGCAGGCAAACAGGCACAGGAACCAUGGGACAUUUUUGACAGGAAUGACGGCAAACACGGUCAGACUGCUGUCAGCAGGGGGCAGGGGACCAGUUUCAGAGGAACUUCAGAAUAAAGAAAGCCUAAAUCAGAAAGACAGUUAACACUGUCGGACUAUAUGGAUGUUCUUCCACAGGAAAACAUAGCAGGUGGAAAUAUAGAUAUGCUUAUGUUGAAAAAUACCACAGAGAAGUAAAGUUAGCAGGCAAAAAACCACCGAUCUCUCUUCAAAAGGAAGAAAAAAAAUCCUUUGUUUUCAUACAAGCAUAAGUAACGUAUUAUUUGUGUGUCUGAUUUGUGUCUGAUUGCAUGUCUGAUCAAGCCCAGGAUCCAAGAUCUGACCAAAGACAAACCAGCUUUGCCUCCAGUUGAUUGUAUCAAUGACCAGUGUACAUGUGUUCAUGGAGGAAGAGCAGCUGCUGGCAAGACUUCAGAACAGAGAUUUGAGCUUUUUCCUAGACUGCAAGAAAAAUCCUUAAACACAACCUUAUUUGUAUAUGCUUUGGGACCUACCUAAAAAGUUACCAGUUACCUUCUGCUGUUGACUCAUUAUCCUAGAAUUUUGCGCUUAAUUGAAACACUGGUGACUAUUGUGCAGUUAAUGCUGUAUCUACCAAGUUAUCAUCUUAGCUGCUAUCUUCACUCAAUUUUGAAGCCCAUCUUGAGCAAUAAGCUACUUUUCUCAUUUUGGUAUUUUUCUCCCUGCUGUACUUUCUGAACCUAUAUGUUCUCUAUUUGAACAAGUUCAAGUUCAUCAAUCUCUUUCCUGACAAAGUCCCAUUCUCAAGACCCAUCUCUACUGUAGUAU
rnacentral:lncRNA from 1 species